rnacentral:rRNA from 1 species
AUGCGCGACACGGACAUGGAUGAGGAGGCCGCCUACCAGGCGGUGCUGGCGGUUGCCAUGCAAGAAAGCGAAGAGGACGAGCGGAGCGAGGUGGAGGAGGAGGAGGCGGCGUACCAGGCACGCCUGUCAGAGGCCAUCACACUCUCCGCUUCCAGCAACUGCGUCGUGCCGCCGUUGAUGUCGCCGCCCCCCAUCAAGCCCGAGCUGGCGCCGUCCCCUAUGCCGGCGCCCCAGCGGUACACCUGGCAAGGAAUGGUGCACAAGUGGGUCAACGCGCCAUCCAUCUGGCUUGGGGCAACGCUGACGCAAGAGAAGCUCUACCUCGAGCAAUGGCGGACACGCUGGCUAGCGGAGGAGCGCCUGGAGCAGUGGGAGCGCAACGCGGAGGAGGAGCGCCUGGAGCAGUGGGAGGAGGAGCGCCGGACCCGCGCUGCCCAACCGGCAACGGUCACGCCGGCGCCGGAGGACGUCGCCACAGCCUGGGAGAUGGCAUUCCCCUGGGUUGCUCGGCGCCGACGCUCGUCGACCUCACCAGCCCCGAAGCUACGACGAGGAUGCCUAGGGCAGCGUGUCUCCUCCUCGUUUUUAGUUUUAUUAAAUGUUUUUAAUUAA